rnacentral:rRNA from 1 species
GACGUAGGGCGCAAGCGUUGUCCGGAAUUAUUGGGCGUAAAGAGCUCGUAGGCGGCUUGUUGCGUCGACUGUGAAAAACCACGACUCAACCGUGGGACUGCAGUCGAUACGGGCAGGCUAGAGCUCGGUAGGGGAGACUGGAAUUCCUGGUGUAGCGGUGAAAUGCGCAGAUAUCAGGAGGAACACCGGUGGCGAAGGCGGGUCUCUGGGCCGAUACUGACGCUGAGGAGCGAAAGCGUGGGGAGCGAACAGG